rnacentral:rRNA from 1 species
UACAGAGGUCUCGAGCGUUGUUCGGAUUUAUUGGGCGUAAAGGGCGCGUAGGCGGCGGGGUAAGUCUGGUGUGAAAUCUCGGAGCUCAACUCCGAAAUUGCACUGGAUACUGCUCUGCUAGAGGGCUGGAGAGGAGAUCGGAAUUCACGGUGUAGCAGUGAAAUGCGUAGAUAUCGUGAGGAAGACCAGUGGCGAAGGCGGAUCUCUGGACAGCUCCUGACGCUGAGGCGCGAAGGCUAGGGGAGCGAACAGG